AUUCUCCUAACCUACAUUUAUCUAACACUUGCUUUUCUAUUAAUCAAUUUCAUUCUAUCAAACAGCACGGUCUACUUCUCUUUUCAUCUUCCCCGUCUAUUUUCUCCGCCAUUAUUCGAAUUCAAAAUACUUCUUCGAUUAUGUUUUUUUCUUUACUUAAUAUUUGAAAUCAUUUUGAUGAUUACGUAA